rnacentral:rRNA from 1 species
CCAAUAGCGUAUAUUAAAGUUGUUGCAGUUAAAAAGCUCGUAGUUGAAUUUUAGGCCUGGCCGGGCGGUCCGUCUUUGGCGAGUACUGUCCUGUGUCGGGUCUUCCUUCUGGUGAACCAGUAUGUCCUUUAUUGGGUGUGCCGGGGAGCCAGGACCAUUACCUUGAAAAAAUUAGAGUGUUUAAAGCGGGCUAUUGCUUGAAUAGAUUAGCAUGGAAUAAUAGAAUAGGACGUUGUGGUUCUAUUUUGUUGGUUUCUAGGACCACCGUAAUGAUUAAUAGGGAUAGUUGGGGGCAUUAGUAUUCAAUUGUCAGAGGUGAAAUUCUUGGAUUUAUUAAAGACUAACUACUGCGAAAGCAUUUGCCAAGGAUGUUUUCAUUAAUCAAGAACGAAAGUUAGGGGAUCAAAGACGAUCAGAUACCGUCGUAGUCUUAACCAUAAACUAUGCCGACUAGGAAUCGGGCGACGUUAUUUUAAUGACUCGCUCGGCGCCUUAUG